GCCCGAUUGUUGUAGUCUGGAUAUCAUGAAGGCUUGCGGAGCCUUCAACCGGGGUUCGAAUCCCCGAUCGGGCA
rnacentral:tRNA from 1 species